UACGUAGGGUGCAAGCGUUGUCCGGAAUUAUUGGGCGUAAAGAGCUCGUAGGCGGUCUGUCGCGUCUGCUGUGAAAACUCAGGGCUUAACCCUGAGCUUGCAGUGGGUACGGGCAGACUAGAGUGCGGUAGGGGAGACUGGAAUUCCUGGUGUAGCGGUGAAAUGCGCAGAUAUCAGGAGGAACACCGGUGGCGAAGGCAGCUCGCUGGCCUGCAACUGACGCUGAGGCGCGAAAGCGUGGGGAGCAAACAGG
rnacentral:rRNA from 1 species